AUUGAACGCUGGCGGCAUGCCUUACACAUGCAAGUCGAACGGUAACAGGUCUUCGGAUGCUGACGAGUGGCGAACGGGUGAGUAAUACAUCGGAACGUGCCUAGUAGUGGGGGAUAACUACUCGAAAGAGUGGCUAAUACCGCAUGAGAUCUACGGAUGAAAGCAGGGGAUCGCAAGACCUUGUGCUACUAGAGCGGCCGAUGGCAGAUUAGGUAGUUGGUGGGAUAAAAGCUUACCAAGCCGACGAUCUGUAGCUGGUCGGAGAGGACGAUCAGCCACACUGGGACGGAGACACGGCCCAGCCUCCUACGGGAGGCAGCAGUGGGGAAUUUUGGACAAUGGGCGAAAGCCUGAUCCAGCAAUGCCGCGUGCAGGAUGAAGGCCUUCGGGUUGUAAACUGCUUUUGUACGGAACGAAAAGCCCCGGGUUAAUACCCUGGGGUCAUGACGGUACCGUAAGAAUAAGCACCGGCUAACUACGUGCCAGCCGCCGCCGUAA
rnacentral:rRNA from 1 species